AGAGUUUGAUCCUGGCUCAGGAUGAACGCUAGCGGCAGGCCUAACACAUGCAAGUCGAGGGGCAGCGCGGCGCAGCAAUGCGCUGGCGGCGACCGGCGUACGGGUGCGUAACGCGUAUGCAACCUGCCCCGCACCGGGGGAUAGCCCGCCGAAAGGCGGAUUAAUCCCCCAUGGCCCCGGGUGCCCGCAUGGGAAUCCGGGUAAAGCUCCGGUGGUGCGGGAUGGGCAUGCGUGCCAUUAGCUGGCUGGUGGGGUAACGGCCCACCAGGGCGACGAUGGCUAGGGGGUCUGAGAGGAUGGUCCCCCACACUGGUACUGAGACACGGACCAGACUCCUACGGGAGGCAGCAGUGAGGGAUAUUGGUCAAUGGGCGGAAGCCUGAACCAGCCAUGCCGCGUGCGGGAGGAAGGCCCUACGGGUUGUAAACCGCUUUUCCCCGGGAAGAAUAAGCCCCCUGCGGGGGGCGAUGCCGGUACCGGGGGAAUAAGGAUCGGCUAACUCCGUGCCAGCAGCCGCGGUAAUACGGAGGAUCCGAGCGUUAUCCGGAUUUACUGGGUUUAAAGGGUGCGUAGGCGGCCCGCCGAGUCAGCGGUGAAAUGUGGCGGCUCAACCGUUUCGCCGCCGCUGAUACUGGUGGGCUUGGAUUCGGUCGAGGCGGGUGGAAUUCGUGGUGUAGCGGUGAAAUGCAUAGAUAUCACGAGGAACGCCGGUAGCGAAGGCAGCUCGCCGGGCCGCGAUCGACGCUGAGGCACGAAAGCGUGGGGAUCGAACAGGAUUAGAUACCCUGGUAGUCCACGCCGUAAACGAUGAUGGCUGGGUGUGCGCCCGCGAGGGUGCGUGCCUGAGGGAAACCAUUAAGCCAUCCACCUGGGGAGUACGGGCCGCAAGGCUGAAACUCAAAUGAAUUGACGG
rnacentral:rRNA from 1 species